UACGGAGGGUGCAAGCGUUGUUCGGAAUUACUGGGCGUAAAGCGCGCGUAGGUGGCUCGGUAAGUUGAAUGUGAAAUCCCCGGGCUCAACCUGGGAACUGCAUCCAAAACUGCCGAGCUAGAGUAUGGUAGAGGGUGGUGGAAUUUCCUGUGUAGCGGUGAAAUGCGUAGAUAUAGGAAGGAACACCAGUGGCGAAGGCGACCACCUGGACUGAUACUGACACUGAGGUGCGAAAGCGUGGGGAGCAAACAGG
rnacentral:rRNA from 1 species